CAAUGUCACCUUAUAUUUGUUUAUACACGGAAUUGUUGUGGAACACAACAAUGCCGAGUAAACAAAUAACGCUUCACAACAAAGAAAUUAAAAUAUAUCAAGCCAGUCGUAUUAUCACUGCUCUAGAAGGAGCACUUAGCAUUCUUGAAUAUUGACUGACAGUUGGCCUAAAACAUCAGAAAAGUGAAAGAAGACGUUAUCAACUCCUUGAAGUACCAACUCCAACAAGGAGGACACAACCAAUCAUAUAAGGUCGGUACCGAAAAGUACGACCCAGUAGGAGACACGUAGAACGAGAUUCCUGGAAUGGGCGUAAAUUCAUAUUUCUUAAACGCAGAAGUGAUCAACGAUAUGAUCUUCGUCAUCUGUCAACAUCAAAGAGCGGUCAAAUUCAGUGUCAAAUAUUACAAUGACAAGGAAGAUAAUUGGCCCCACAUGUCGACCUGUGUCAUCAAGAACCUAUCGAUGGAAGCGAUUACGCCCACAAACACAGAGACAAAUUAAAGGAGAAGAUACGUUAUCCGAAUGGUAGCCUGUUCAAACGUUUUUUUACGUUUCUUGGAACUUAGCACUCAGCACUUACCUGACCCGGUCCCGCACGCGAGCUGAACAACUGGUCGUUUAGGUGCUAAGAAUUAAAUGCUAAGACAACGUAAAAGAAUAUUGGAUUGGGAAAAUCAGUAGUUUUCAGUUGAUAACAACCACGAAGACCACAUUAAUUUUAAUUAUAUUCCUUACGAAAAUAAAGUAGAAAACUGGGAAUUGAUGCAGGAGCUACAAAAAACAUUUUUUGCUGCGAAGAAGGAAAAAAUAUUUCUCCACAUUAUUUUCUGCGUAAUAUGUCUUCUUGAAAUUAAUUAUUUCAAAGACGUUUAAUUUUAUCCAAAAUAUUACUCUCCAUUAACACAUAGCAGUUUCACUUUGCGUCUUGCAUUAAAUCCACAUGUUUCGAGUUCCGAAACAAUCUUCAUGGUAUUAGGGUUAGAUUAAAUGUUUUGCUUCAUGAACGUCAUUUACAAAAACUUCAUUAUGAAGGCAACACACUGAGAAUUUUGUAUUGAUUUCUGACCUACGUAUGAUAUUUAAAAAAAUUGCAAAAUCACAUUUGACUAAGUUGACCCGAUAUACUGGGUAAUUGUUCCAUGUCUCUGGGGAACUACCAAUCUUUCGAAUGCCAUUCUUUCAGUUAGCAGACGUAUUUAUUUAUUCACGAUAUUUUGUACGGUACUUUAAGUAUUUUAAUGAAUAAGUACAACAUAUUACCACAAAUACAUAAUUCUAGGAACUUGAAAUUAGUUAAGAUACAUACAGAGUAAUGGAAAAAUGUGACAUCUGUAAUCGAAUGGGGAACUCAAGGCAUGUUUCCGAGAUAAAAUCAAAAACAGAAUCAGGUUAUCAGAUCUUAAGCCUGGGCUGAAAGAAGACUUUACGCCGUCUAACUGCCUAGGACCUGAGCAAUACCGCACCAGAAAGUGUCAUUAACCCAGUCGUGGUUAACAUAACACAUAAUUUAUUCCCGGCCAAGCCCAUUGUUUUGCAAGACUGCAGAUUCAGAAGAACAGACUUUCAAAUUAAGGAUUAAGAACACAAGGGUACACAGAAGAGAAAGAUGAGAUUUUGUUUUACCACAAAGAAACGACGACAAACCCAGUCGUCAAAAUAGCUCGAGACUGCUUCUACGAUGUCACCAGAAAUGUCAGUACGAGCAGGGUGCGCUCAUUUCAAGUCGUUUGAAAGCUAAUUCGGUUGUCGUGAUUUAACCCCCCCCCCCCCAAAUUCCCCAGUUGUUAGACACUAAGAUUCUGAUCGUUUACGAUGUAUAUUAGAAGUAAUUUUAAGCAUUUGUUUUAUCGCUUUAUCUCUUCCGAAUGUAAAAAUAUACACAAUAUUCAUAUUACUUAAAAAAUAAAGAAAUGUGAAGUGGUGUAACUUAAUAUCGAUUUUAGACAAUCGGAACCCUAGUGUUCGUGGACAGUGACUUCAGAAGAAAUUAAGGCCCUUGGAAUGUUUGAAAGAAGGAUAAAUAGAAAAAUUUGUUUUCCCAUAAAUAAAGGAGAAAUCUGGGAAACCAAACUCAUAGGGAGAUGAAGGAUGUAUUAUAUUGUAGAAUUCAUAAAACCACCGACAGAUGGCGUGGACAUAAAG